CACUUAUGUAUUGCUUCACUAAUAAAUGGGGAAAUAAGGCACUGACUAGACUAUUAAUAUCUCUGUAAAGAUAAUAUUCGUAAGUAGAAAAAAUAGGGUUUGCCCAUUUCUCAGAAUAUAGAAUGUUACAGAUAGAGAGCAGUAUUAGAUUAUGCCUAUGACCUGGUUUCCAUGGCAACACAUUCAUUAUCUUAUCUCAUUCUUUUCUAAGUUACCCAAUUUAACUGCCUUAUCCCUUUUAUCACACCUCCCCCUCAUUUAACACUCACCAGAUCCUUUUCUGAUGCUGUGGAGGCAGUAUAACAGCUUUCACAGCUGCUUGCUAAAUGGAAUGGGAAAAUGCACACACAUACACACAAACACACACACACAUUCUCUCUGUCACACACACACACACACACACACACACUGGGAGUAUGUGGAGGGAGAGGAAUUUUGGCAGGAUUUCAGGAUCAAGGAAUGCAAGUGGCAGAAGGCUUCCCUUGCUUAUUGGCUGAAGGUCUACAAGGACUUGAUUCACAUAUCUGAUCAUACCUGGAGUCCAGACUUCCUCCUGAUGCCUGGUAAAAAAGGGUGACUUCGUCAUCAGAGCUCAGGGCUGUGGACUGUACAUGAAAUGAGGAAGAGGUCUGGAACUGAGCCCACAAUAUCUCUGAGAUAUGCCUGUGUUACUUUGAAAUUAAAAAAAGGAUUUCUUCAAACAAUGCUCACUUCAAAGGUAAUAAACAUGGAUAUUUUAAUAUACUUAAACGCA
rnacentral:lncRNA from 13 species